GAUUUAUUGUAUUGUAUGAACUAAUAUUUGUUAUGUGAUGUUACAGUAAAUCAUUGUAGCAUCUAUAGAAGCUAAUGAAGCCCACAGACAAUCCAGAAUAAAGGGAAACAAGGAACAAAUAGACAAGAAGAAGAAAGCAAAGAUUGGUUGACACCUCUCCUUGUGGGGGCAACUAUGCGCCACACCCUCUAUAGCAUGGGAGGGGGCCUUGCGCCACACUCUCUAUUCUGAGAUCACAAUGGUUGGUACCUGUUAUGGUCCUUCACCUCACCUCCCUUGACUCUUUGAUGGCCAUGUGAUGUACCCUUCCCUUCUCUUUAAAACAAACUGUCUAAAAGUUAAUUUUUGCGUGGUUUAAGUUGAGCGCCAAGUAUUAAAUAUAUGUGAUUCAUCUGGGGCAGAUUAUGAAAGACAUAAGGGACUAUAUAAGGAGUACUUAGCUACAUUUACAAGAGAUCCUUACAACAACACAUAUUUGGAGAGAGGAGAAGGCUUCAAGAGCUCUACAUUAAGGCUCAAAAAGGCCACUUUACUUCUUACACAAACACGUGCACUUGCGUGUAUGAUUGGAUGCAACAAGUAUAGGCCUCAGAGUACUGCAAUAUAUUUCUCACACUCUUAUCCUUAAGAGGUGGUGGAGGUUCAGAACUCAACCAUGUUUGUAGGCUACAUAUCGUGAAGCAAAAUACUGUAAAUGAGCCCACCCUGUGGCCAAAGUCACAGACUCUAAAGACUACAAUUAAUGAAAAAGUUAGAUGAAAAUCAAGGUCAAGGCAGACACAAACAUUAUAUGAAAGAUUCAAGCCGAAAAUUCAUGUUUUGGUGGGAUAGUUGGACAGGUAAAGGUGCUCUUGCUAAUUUUGUCCCUGGACUAGGUAAGUCUGCUGAACUCCUGGUCAAUUCCUUUAUCAAAGAUAAUAUGUGGAAUUUUGACAAAUAUAAUGAUACUCUUCCUUAUUAUAUUGUUGAAGAUAUUAGAAAUAUUGAUUUUGGGAUACUAGAGAUCCUAAGUUCCCUAUUUGAAAAUCAACAGAAGAUGGUACUUUCUCUAUGAAAUCUACUUGAUAGCUAAUUAGGGAACAAAAGCAGAGAAAUAACCUUCUCCAAAGUGUUUGGCAUGCUAGAAUCCCCUUCAAAGUCUCUUUCUUACUUGGUGGAUGAUUAAAAAGAAAUUUCAUUUUAAGGAUACAGUUAACAGGUGCGGCACUAAUUUCUUUGAUGAGCUCUCUUGUGACAGUCUACUACAAAGUAAGACAAUACAACAUAUUUUUAUUACCAGUGAAGGAGCUAGUAGGUUGUGGAGCAUUAUCGACAACACUCUGUGAAUUCAACACCAUCAAGAUUAGGGUUGGCGUGACGGCAGUGGCCGCACUCGGCAGCGACUACCGACGGCAGUGACAAACUGAACAAAUGAACUGAGCAAAUGACUGUGGUUGGCGAUUUUGAAAUUUCAAAUGAAUUGACGAACUGAGGAUGGUUGAACGCUGCUGCAUCCUUCACGUUAAUGUUAGGGUCUAAAGCGAAGCAGUGUAUUAGGAUU